rnacentral:rRNA from 1 species
GGAGGAAAGUAGGGGAUCGAAAGACCUUGCGCUUUUGGAGCGGCCGAUGUCUGAUUAGCUAGUUGGUGGGGUAAUGGCCUACCAAGGCGACGAUCAGUAGUUGGUCUGAGAGGACGACCAGCCACACUGGGACUGAGACACGGCCCAGACUCCUACGGGAGGCAGCAGUGGGGAAUUUUGGACAAUGGGCGCAAGCCUGAUCCAGCAAUGCCGCGUGAGUGAAGAAGGCCUUCGGGUUGUAAAGCUCUUUCAGUCGAGAAGAAAGGGCUGCAGUGAAUAACUGUAGUUUAUGACGGUAUCGACAGAAGAAGCACCGGCUAACUACGUGCCAGCAGCCGCGGUAAUACGUAGGGUGCGAGCGUUAAUCGGAAUUACUGGGCGUAAAGGGUGCGCAGGCGGUUUUGUAAGUCAGAUGUGAGUCCCCGGGCUUACCAUGGGAAUUAAAAUGAAACACAAAGCAGAACGGGAAUAUAGGCAAGGGAAAAAAAGGGAAAAAAAGGGGAAAUAAAA